rnacentral:rRNA from 1 species
GACGAACGCUGGCGGCGUGCCUAAUACAUGCCAGUAGAACGCUGAAGCGAGGAGCUUACUCUUCUUGGAUGAGUUGCGAACGGGUGAGUAACGCGUAGGUAACCUGCCUUGUAGCGGGGGAUAACUAUUGGAGACGAUAGCUAAUACCGCAUAACAAUGGAUGACACAUGUCAUUUAUUUGAAAGGGGCAAUUGCUCCACUACAAGAUGGACCUGCGUUGUAUUAGCUAGUAGGUGAGGUAAUGGCUCACCUAGGCGACGAUACAUAGCCGACCUGAGAGGGUGAUCGGCCACACUGGGACUGAGACACGGCCCAGACUCCUACGGGAGGCAGCAGUAGGGAAUCUUCGGCAAUGGGGGCAACCCUGACCGAGCAACGCCGCGUGAGUGAAGAAGGGUUUCGGAUCGUAAAGCUCUGUUGUAAGUCAAGAACGGGGGUGAGAGUGGAAAGUUCACACUGUGACGGUAGCUUACCAGAAAGGGACGGCUAACUACGUG